rnacentral:rRNA from 1 species
UACGAAGGGGGCUAGCGUUGCUCGGAAUCACUGGGCGUACAGGGUGCGUAGGCGGGUCUUUAAGUCAGAGGUGAAAUCCUGGAGCUCAACUCCAGAACUGCCUUUGAUACUGAGGAUCUUGAGUUCGGGAGAGGUGAGUGGAACUGCGAGUGUAGAGGUGAAAUUCGUAGAUAUUCGCAAGAACCCCAGUGGCGAAGGCGGCUCACUGGCCCGAUACUGACGCUGAGGCACGAAAGCGUGGGGAGCAAACAGG